CACAAGCAGCCUGGUAGCAUAUCUGUCUCGUGGGAGAUCGUGUCAACCAAACACCACCGUGCGUGUCAGCCAUGUCGCUCAUGCCUUGGUUCGGCGGCGGCCGGGGAGGGAUGGACCCCUUCUCCUCCGACCUCUGGGACCCCUUCGGCGCUUCGUGGCCCUUGGACGCCGGGCGCCGAGGCGGCGAAGGCGGCAGCCGUGACGACGCCACCGCCAUGGCUCGCACCAACGUCGACUGGCACGAGAACGACAAGGAGCACAUCUUCUCGGCCGAGAUCCCCGGGGUGAGGAAGGAGGACGUGAAGGUGGAGGUGGAGGACGGCAACGUGCUCAAGAUCAGCGGGGAGAAGACGCGGGAGGAGGAGCACAAGGGCGACGCCUGGAACCGGGUGGAGCGCAGCUUCGGGUCCUUCAUGCGACGGUUCCGCCUGCCGGAGAACGCCAAGGCGGACGGCAUCCGGUGCACCAUGCAGGACGGCGUGCUCAGGGUCGUCGUGCCCAAGGACGAGCAAGCCCAGAAGCAGCGCAACGUCCGCUCCAUCGACAUCGCCUAACGGCUAAAAGCACCGCACCGACGCAUGCAGUCAACGGCUUCCUAGCGUGACAUGCCCUCUCCUUCAACACCACUGAACUAUGUAUGGCGAUGACGUGUCUCUUACUUUAUUUGCGUGUACUGGUAGUAGCCAAUCUGUAUCGUGUGUUCUAUUUUAGCAGUAUGUACUGUAAGGCUAGGCUAUUCUGUACGGUAGUUUAGAAGUGUGUUGUAUGCGCCAUAUAGCUGCUACAGCAUACUGUACUUCCCAUCUCCAGUAUCCAUCGUAAACUGCAGUACGAAGGACCAGAAAUAUAUUUUUAAGACUGGCAGGGA